CCUACGGGAGGCAGCAGUGGGGGAUAUUGCACAAUGGGGGAAACCCUGAUGCAGCGAUGCCGCGUGGGUGAAGAAGCGCCUCGGCGCGUAAAGCCCUGUCAGCAGGGAAGAAAAUGACGGUACCUGAAGAAGAAGCCCCGGCUAACUACGUGCCAGCAGCCGCGGUAAUACGUAGGGGGCAAGCGUUAUCCGGAUUUACUGGGUGUAAAGGGGACGCAGACGGCGAUGCAAGCCAGGAGUGAAAGCCCGGGGCCCAACCCCGGGACUGCUCUUGGAACUGCGUGGCUAGAGUGCAGGCGGGGCCG
rnacentral:rRNA from 1 species